GUAGGGUGAACCUGCGGAGGGAUCAUUACCGAGUUUACAACUCCCAAACCCCUGUGAACAUACCUAUACGUUGCCUCGGCGGAUCAGCCCGCGCCCCGUAAAACGGGACGGCCCGCCCGAGGACCCCUAAACUCUGUUUUUAGUGGAACUUCUGAGUAAAACAAACAAAUAAAUCAAAACUUUCAACAACGGAUCUCUUGGUUCUGGCAUCGAUGAAGAACGCAGCAAAAUGCGAUAAGUAAUGUGAAUUGCAGAAUUCAGUGAAUCAUCGAAUCUUUGAACGCACAUUGCGCCCGCCAGUAUUCUGGCGGGCAUGCCUGUUCGAGCGUCAUUUCAACCCUCAAGCUCAGCUUGGUGUUGGGACUCGCGGUAACCCGCGUUCCCCAAAUCGAUUGGCGGUCACGUCGAGCUUCCAUAGCGUAGUAAUCAUACACCUCGUUACUGGUAAUCGUCGCGGCCACGCCGUUAAACCCCAACUUCUGAAUGUUGACCUCGGAUCAGGUAGGAAUACCCGCUGAACUUAAGCAUAUCGAUAACCCAGGAGAAAC
rnacentral:rRNA from 1 species